UAGUGACGAAAAAUAACGAUACGGGACUCAUCCGAGGCCCCGUAAUCGGAAUGAGUACAAUUUAAAACUUUUCCCGAAAAUCAAUUGGAGGGUAAGUCUGGUGCCAGCAGCCGCGGUAAUUCCAGCUCCAAUAGCGUAUAUUAAAGUUGUUGCGGUUAAAAAGCUCGUAGUCGAAUCUGUGUCCCGCGCCGCUGGUUCAUCGCUCGCGGUGUUCAACUGGCGUGUUUCGCGGGACGUCCUGCCGGUGGGCGCUCGUAUCGUUUCGGCGGUGCGUGGCCCAACUCGUAGCCGUCUCGCGCGGUUGCGAAUCCCAUCGCGGUGCUCUUUAUUGAGUGUCGAGGUGGGCCGGCACGUUUACUUUGAACAAAUUAGAGUGCUUAAAGCAGGCCAAAUUUGCCUGAAUAUUGUGUGCAUGGAAUAAUGGAAUAGGACCUCGGUUCUAUUUUGUUGGUUUUCUGAACCCCGAGGUAAUGAUUAAUAGGAACGGAUGGGGGCAUUCGUAUUGCGACGUUAGAGGUGAAAUUCUUGGAUCGUCGCAAGACGGACAGAAGCGAAAGCAUUUGCCAAAAACGUUUUCAUUGAUCAAGAACGAAAGUUAGAGGUUCGAAGGCGAUCAGAUACCGCCCUAGUUCUAACCAUAAACGAUGCCAGCUAGCGAUCCGCCGACGUUCCUCCGAUGACUCGGCGGGCAGCUUCCGGGAAACCAAAGCUUUUGGGUUCCGGGGGAAGUAUGGUUGCAAAGCUGAAACUUAAAGGAAUUGACGGAAGGGCACCACCAGGAGUGGAGCCUGCGGCUUAAUUUGACUCAACACGGGACACCUCACCAGGCCCGGACACCGGAAGGAUUGACAGAUUGAGAGCUCUUUCUUGAUUCGGUGG
rnacentral:rRNA from 1 species